GGUACAUUGUCCUGCGAUGAAAGUGAUGCUACACUAGUUGAUCCUAUUGAUGACCAAGUUGAUUCUUCUAGAAAGAUCAAUUUGUGUCCACCUAGUGUUGGCACUUGUAGCUUGAAUGAGGGUACAUUGUCCUGCGAUGAAAGUGAUGCUACACUAGUUGAUCCUAUUGAUGACCAAGUUGAUUCUUCUAGAAAGAUCAAUUUGUGUCCACCUAGUGUUGGCAUUAAUGAUUUGAAUGAAUCCUUAGACCAUAGCAACAUUUCUUGUUUUUCUCAUGUGAAUCUUGAGGUAGAAUGUUUGUUAAAGGAUAAUCUCUUGUUUGAUGAUGACAUGACUCUUGAGAGCGUGCAUAGUGAAAUGCCU
rnacentral:lncRNA from 1 species